AUGGUUUAUCUCCAGUACUUGAGCGAGCUCUUAACGCAUUAUAGUCCUUCACGUCUAUUGCGAUCUCCAAACUCCGGCCGGUUGAUUAUACCGAGAAUAUCGAAAUCAACUGCAGGCGGGAGAUCCUUUUCCUAUUUAGCGCCAAAACUCUGGAACAAUCUUCCUAACAUUAUCCGGGAAGCACACACACUCUGGCAGAUCAAAUCUAGACUAGAAACACAUCUCUCCGGCCUAGCACACACACACACAACACACUAUAGACUUCUGUAAUUCAAUGUUAGGCUGCAUAGUUUAGAUCAGCCGGAAGCGGGAACACGUCCCGUAAACCCUGAUGGACUCGUUACAUCAUAAGAAGGAUGGCGUCUACGCUAAUAUCAGUCUCUCUGUUUAUCCCGAGGUUUACCGCAGUCCGCCGGAUCAAGGCCGUAUCCAGAUCAGAUGAAGGACAGCGUCUGGACGCGACGACAGGAACGCAUUAAGAGUUUUCUGUUAGAGUCGUGUUAGCGGCCGUUAAUAACUGAUGAUCUUCGUGACGGAAGUGAAUCAAACCGAAUUAACUUUAGCUGGACAAUAACUUUAUCCUAGAGCUGUUGUAAAGCCUAAAACUUUACUGGACUGUCAUGUGACAUCAUGGAAACUGUCAGCAGCCAUUUCCCCCUGUGGCCCGAGACUCACACACACACACACACACACUCCGUGAUGUUGAGCUGAUAGCAGGGCUGGGAGACUCCUGGGGAAGCCCGGCUGCUGGAAGAGGUGUUUGUGCGGCCAGUAGGGGGCGCUGGUCUCCCGGUGCUCUGUGCGGGUCCUAGCGGGACACCGUACUCUAACAAGCAGCGUCCUUCGAAAGAGACGUUAAACCGAGGUCCGGACUCUCUGUGGCCAUUAAGAGUCCCAGACUGUCUUUCGAAAGAGUAGGAGCCUCUGUCCAUCACGGCCUCGUAAUCUUCCCUAUAUACUGACUGGCUUCAUCACUGGUGUGUGUGUGACGUAUCCUUACACUGGUGUGUGUGAGACCUGUUCCACGCUGGUGUGUGUGGCCUGAGCGCACAAGUCUCCUGAUCCAGGAUCUGUCCUGUUUAACUCUGAUGUUCUGAGACUCUCCUCCAGCACAUCUGCAGUGAUGUUCUCUCUCUCUCUCCUCAUCUCUGCUGCAGGGGCGAGUGAGUCUCGUGUCCAUCGUCUGCUCAGUGGUCAGUGUAGGUCCUGUCUUCAUCAGCAGCUACAUCUGGCUACUGGGUCUCUGAUGGACACCUGUCCGUCAAACAUCGUCACAGGAGGAACACACACACACACACACACACACUCUGCUGCGCUUCUGAACCUGGCACACAGUGUAGAGAUCUGUGUUUGUGUAACUACAGCUACAUCGUCUGCUGGGUUUCAGUCGCUUCACACUGACCUCAGAUCAGGAGCGCUUACUCUACAGACUCUGAAUGAUCAAUAAAGUUGGAGAUAUUUGUCCAACAA